CAGGAAUAGAAUAGGAGGUGAUGAUGGAGAGUUUGGGGCCUCAGCACAGGGGCAGGGUCUUGUCUUCAGCCCUCCCACCCUAGUCCUUCGCUUCCCCAGUGAACUCAGAAGAGAUCCCUCCCUCCAGAUUCCAUCCUCUGAGGGUAUGCAGGCGGGAGCAAUAAAAAUAGAACUGGGAACAGAGGGAUGCUCCUUGGACAAUGCCUCAAAGAUCCAGAAUUAGAAUCCUCCCUUUACUGCCCUAGCCGCAGCUGGCUCCUGCACUUAGCAGACUCCCAAGAUUGACCAGAUCCGUCUCACUCCUGGGCAUGGACAACACUUCAGAGAGCUGUCAAGCUCAGCCUUUCUGCAGGGGUGACUUGUGAGGCUGAAAGCUGAAGUUAGAGGUAUGGGGUUUGAAGUCUGGGGUUCAAAGAACAUCCAGGAAAAGCUUCCCAGAGAUCCAGGAGGCAAGAAGAUGGGUGCUGAGAUGGAGGUGGCCUUGGCAGACCCUGGGUCCUGGAUUUUGAAGAAUAUGGAAGAAGUUUACCCUUUUUUCAAUGGACUUCAGCCUGCUAGACUCAUAGUCUAUCUUCUCUCUCAUUAAGAAUGGGUUGUAAACAGGACAGCCAUAGACUGAAGGGAGGGGACAGGGCUUCCAGUAAAGGAGGUCAGCAGGAGGUAAUGCUUCUAUGACUUCAUUAAACCAAGAAGUUUACUUUCUAAUUUAAGUCUCCCACUCAACCUCGAGUCAAGGAACCAGUGGAGUCCUCCCUCAAACCACACUGACAUCAGAGCCCUCCCCAAUCCCCACACUGACAUCAGAGCCCUCCCCCAUCUCCACACUGACAUCAGAGCCCUGCCCCAUUCCCACACUCUCUGAAGUCAGAGCCCUUCCCCAUCCCCACACUGACAUCAGAACC